ACUCCUACGGGAGGCAGCAGUAGGGAAUCUUGCGCAAUGGGCGAAAGCCUGACGCAGCGACGCCGCGUGCGGGAUGACGGCCCUAGUGGUUGUAAACCGCUUUCAGCAGGGACGAAAAUGACGGUACCUGCAGAAGAAGUCCCGGCUAACUACGUGCCAGCAGCCGCGGUAAUACGUAGGGGACAAGCGUUGUCCGGAUUCAUUGGGCGUAAAGAGCUCGUAGGCGGUUCAGUAAGUUGGGUGUGAAAGCUCCGGGCUCAACCCGGAGAGGCCACUUAAUACUGCUGUGACUAGAGUCCAGUAGAGGAGCGUGGAACUCCUGGUGUAGCGGUGAAAUGCGCAGAUAUCAGGAAGAACACCGGCAGCGAAGGCGGCGCUCUGGGCUGGUACUGACGCUGAGGAGCGAAAGCAUGGGUAGCAAACAGGAUUAGAUACCCUGGUAGGAUAGCG
rnacentral:rRNA from 1 species